rnacentral:rRNA from 1 species
GACGAACGCUGGCGGCGUGCUUAACACAUGCAAGUCGAGCGGUAAGGCCCUUUCGGGAGUACACGAGCGGCGAACGGGUGAGUAACACGUGGGUGACCUGCCCUCAGCUCUGGGAUAAGCCUGGGAAACUGGGUCUAAUACCGGAUAUGACUCCAUGACGCAUGUUGUGGGGUGGAAAGCCUUGUGCGGCUGAGGAUGGGCCCGCGGCCUAUCAGCUUGUUGGGGGGUGAUGGCCUACCAAGGCGACGACGGGUAGCCGGCCUGAGAGGGCGACCGGCCACACUGGGACUGAGACACGGCCCAGACUCCUACGGGAGGCAGCAGUGGGGAAUCUUGCGCAAUGGGCGAAAGCCUGACGCAGCGACGCCGCGUGAGGGAUGACGGCCUGGU